UCGAGCGGACAGAUGGGAGCUUGCUCCCUGAUGUUAGCGGCGGACGGGUGAGUAACACGUGGGUAACCUGCCUGUAAGACUGGGAUAACUCCGGGAAACCGGGGCUAAUACCGGAUGCUUGUUUGAACCGCAUGGUUCAAACAUAAAAGGUGGCUUCGGCUACCACUUACAGAUGGACCCGCGGCGCAUUAGCUAGUUGGUGAGGUAACGGCUCACCAAGGCAACGAUGCGUAGCCGACCUGAGAGGGUGAUCGGCCACACUGGGACUGAGACACGGCCCAGACUCCUACGGGAGGCAGCAGUAGGGAAUCUUCCGCAAUGGACGAAAGUCUGACGGAGCAACGCCGCGUGAGUGAUGAAGGUUUUCGGAUCGUAAAGCUCUGUUGUUAGGGAAGAACAAGUACCGUUCGAAUAGGGCGGUACCUUGACGGUACCUAACCAGAAAGCCACGGCUAACUACGUGCCAGCAGCCGCGGUAAUACGUAGGUGGCAAGCGUUGUCCGGAAUUAUUGGGCGUAAAGGGCUCGCAGGCGGUUCCUUAAGUCUGAUGUGAAAGCCCCCGGCUCAACCGGGGAGGGUCAUUGGAAACUGGGGAACUUGAGUGCAGAAGAGGAGAGUGGAAUUCCACGUGUAGCGGUGAAAUGCGUAGAGAUGUGGAGGAACACCAGUGGCGAAGGCGACUCUCUGGUCUGUAACUGACGCU
rnacentral:rRNA from 1 species